GUCUAGAUAUCUCGAUGUGGAAGUAGUGAAUAGAUGAAUAAAUUAGUAAAAGAGUGACCUUCUUUAAAUUUACGAUAAUAAAGUUAUAGUGAUUUUAUGUUAUGCAUGGAAAGCAUGCACGUGUAGCAUGAUAUAGUAAAUUAUAGUGAAUUAUUUAGAUUUUUAAAUUAGUUGAGAAAUUGAUGGGUUUAUUUGAUGGAUUGGUGCUAGUUGCUUGUAAGCUACUUCCAUACAGUAUAUGUGUGUAAUACAAGUAAUGGGGUGGUUAGUAAUUAAGCAUAAAAUUAAAAUUGUACAGGUGGCAAAUUAUGAGUAAGUCUUGCUUUCAAGUUGUAGGCAUUGUGUCGUUCUUAUAACUUGGAUUAUUUGAAAUUACUAUGUGCUUUGAUAUGGUAAUAUUAUUAAGUUAGGAAAAGAUUUUAUAAUCAUUAUUGAGUAGUAAUAGUUGUACUAAGGAUAGUUAGAAGUUUAAGGAGAAUCUUAUACAACCUAGUCUAGUAAGAUUGUAUACGUGGGAACUAGAGAGGAUAAAGCUCUCACCAAUUAACAAAUCAAAAACCAAUUGCUAACUUCAAUUCGAUUUAUUUGGGGAAUUACUGAAGCUUUGACCGAAUAGUUAGGGGCUAAGGAUGAAUAUAUUUAUCUAAUUGCUUAAUUUAAUAGCUUUAUAAAGUUUAACUAUGGUUAGAUGGGGAUCGUGGCAUAAGUUAAAGGAUAUAGCUUAGGGUGAGUUAACUAAAGCUUAAGGCUAUAAAUAGGAGUCAUUAGUGUAAACAUAGCUCACACCAAUCUCUAUUAUGGAUUUACAUACCAAAAUUCUCUUGCAAUUAUUCUCUCCCUCAUAUAUUCACUUAUUUCAUUUUAGAAUGAAGCCUUAGCUCCGCUUAAUAUGUCACCAUAAAACCAAACACCACCCACAAACCAUUGUUUUCUUGUCCAUAUUAACUCAAGGCUAAGACACUAAGUUAAUAUCAUCCUCUCAUAUAUCUUACAUCAUAUUAGCGUCACCAUCUAUCAUUUGAAGUUCAAGUUUUGGUGCUCAACUAGAUCUCAUUGGAAGCUAAUUAAGGUUUUUCAUAAGAAACUCAUUAUUGGUUUUCAAGGAUCACUCUUAUUGCAAUCAAGGCUAGAACUUCACAUUCGAGGUAAGGAAAUUAAGUAGAAAAACUUAAGUUUUCUGUAUGUAAUAACAUUCAUAGGAAGAGUGGGAAUAGUAAAAGAGAAGUUAACUAAGGUCUUCUGCCUGACUCUUUAUUGUUUGUUAUUUAAUGUACUGUAUAAUAUAUAUUUAAAUAAUAUGUUUAUAAGAUUCAUGUUAUUUAUGUAUGUUUACAGUAUUAGAGCAUGGCCAUUGCUAAAGGUAUAUAUUUAAAUAAUAUGUUUAUAAGAUUCAUGUUAUUUAAGUAUGUAUGUAAAUAGUGUGUUUAUAAGAUUCACAUUAUUUAGUUAUGAUUGUUAUGUUAUUUAAAUAAUGUAUAGUAGUUUGACAUUAUUUAAAUUAGAUAGAUUAUAGUUUAUGUGACAUGGUUUGACCGAGAAGAUAAUGGUUAAAUACUUGAUUCUUGGGUCUAUAUGGUAGAUAGGGGGCCAUUUAGUAGUGGGUACGAUUUUACUGAACCCAGCCCUCCGCCAUUUAGUCCAAUAGCUCGGGUUUAUUUGCCAAAGUCGAACUUGGGCGUAAUCAUUUUAUGUGAUUUAGCUUAGAACCUAAUUAUUAGCUACUAGUGAUAUGGUUAAGUUUAUGUAUUGCUAGUUGUCAAUAUAUGAGCAUGUGCAUUUUUAGUUAAGUUUUAUUUUUAUUUUUUUUGUUUAUGUGACUACCUGACACACAUUUCCUUACUGAGUUUAGUAGCUCACCCUUAUCAAAUUACCAUGUGCAGACCAAGGUAACUGAAAGUUUAGAAAGUCGGUGGCGAGUGGAAUUUUGGACGCUUGUGUGUGUGAACUCGCUGAGGACCAUAUAACUGUGGGCGGUCUAGGGCGCUCUGUUUAUUUAUUUACGCUAUUAAACUUAUGUCGCAAUUAUUUUAGUUAUUAUUUAUUAUGUCUUUUGUACGAAAACUGGCCAGUUGUGAAUAUUUUCAAGUAUUAAAUAAAAAUGCGACAUUAUGAUUUUCCGCG